rnacentral:rRNA from 2 species
GAGAGACUACAGGAUUCCCCUAGUAACGGCGAGUGAAGCGGGAACAGCUCAAAUUUGAAAUCUCACAGGGCCACCUGUGCGAAUUGUAGUUUAGAGAAGCGUUUUCGGGGGCGACUUGGUUAUAAGUCCUCUGGAACGAGGCAUCAUAGAGGGUGAGAAUCCCGUUUAUGAUCCAAUGUUCGCUCCUAUGUGAUACGCUUUCCAAGAGUCAGGUAGUUUGGGAUUGCUGCCUAAAAUGGGUGGUAAAUACCAUCUAAAGCUAAAUAAUGGCGAGAGACCGAUAGCGAACAAGUACCGUGAGGGAAAGAUGAAAAGAACUUUGAAAAGAGAGUUAAACAGUACGUGAAAUUGCCAAAAGGGAAACGCUUGGAACCAGUAUUGCCUGCAGGUAAUCAGCCUUGCGGCCCGAAAGGGUUAGCAUGGUGCACUUGCCUGCAGACAGGUCAACAUCAGUUUGGCUUGGGGUAAAAAGCCGGAGGAAGGUAGCUUGGGCUUCGGCCUGAGUGUUAUAGCCUCCGGUCAUGCCCUGGGCUGGACUGAGGUCUGCAGCGUUAUUUGGAUUCCCGAUCGCCUCUCGAACCUUGCCGACAGACAGCAUGCUGACUGUUGGCAAGGCUAGGGAGCCCGGUCGGUUUAUCACACCAGCGCUUAGGAUGUUGACGAAAUGGUUCCAAACGACCCGUCUUGAAACACGGACCAAGGAGUCUAACAUAUAUGCGAGUAUUUGGGUGGCAAACCCUUAUGCGCAAUGAAAGUGAACUUAGGUGGGAUCUUCGGUGCACCAUCGACCGGUCUGGAUUUUUUUGAAAGAUCUGAGUAAGAGCAUAUCUGUUGGGACCCGAAAGAUGGUGAACUAUGCCUGAAUAGGGUGAAGCCAGAGGAAACUCUGGUGGAGGCUCGUAGCGAUUCUGACGUGCAAAUCGAUCGUCAAAUUUGGGUAUAGGGGCGAAAGACUAAUCGAACCAUCAACCGCUAGGUGGUUAAGAGGGACGUGAAGUGCGUGCCCUAGUCCUGUGAAAGCGGGCGAGACUGUCAAAUUGCUGGGACACCCUAAAGGUGCUGGUACUAAGCCUGUUUGGAAACGAACUGGUGGUCGAGUUACUUGCUCGAGAGUGACAAUCCAGCACAUGAAGACCGAUUGUCUCUGCAGAGAAUCGGUUCGAAAUGGGCAAUCAGCAGCCAAGCUCUAAGUUCCCCGCUUCAAGGGGAAUAUGAGUGCAGUUCAGAGACUAGAUGUCAGUCGGUAUCCAUCGUUGGAUGCUUAAGGUAUAGUCCAAUCCCAACCGAGAGGUUGGCCUCCGGAAGAAGCUGUGUUGGCGCUUUCACCAAACUCGAUCAAAAACCGAGUGUGGCCGCACAGCCCGAGACUGGAGGGCCGAAUCAAAUGGGGUUAUACCCCAAAUGAUUGGCG